CCUGAUAAUGCUGGCGGCAAUCAGUACUGUUCUACAUCUGCGGAUUUCUACCAGAUGCAGUGGGAUGAUCAUCCUUGUGAUCAGAUACGUUCUUUUGCCUGCAACACCAAACGUAAAACCAAGAGAUUUGUGGUGAAACUGAAAAUAAGCUCUGACAGGAACCUGAAUCUUCCAUCAGUGAGUGACUCUCUCCUGCAGCAGUUUCAUUCACAGCUAGAAGAGCAGGGUGUGACAAAUUUUACAGUGAGCUGGCGUGCCAACA